GAACCACGCGAGACCUCAAAACGAUAAGUUAUUGGCAAUAUGGCGGCACAGAGUAGAAUAUUGAUUACGUUUUAAGGGAGACAGGGGUUUUAGGCAGGAUUUGAUUCAUGAUGUGUGUGUAGAUAUUAAUGUUAGGGGACAAUGUGAGAGUGUACGUUUUAGUAGGAAAACGUAUUAUCUGACCCACACUCCGGAACAGAAGAGGGCGGUAAUGCACCAAUAAGCUGGAUGCCAACCGCCGUUAAACUGUAAAGAAGACGAAUAUGACAGCUUGCUGUGAGAGACAACUGGACAGAUGAGACACACGUGUGUUUAUCUGCUGUAGAGUAACUGAUGAAGGAAUGCUGCCAUCAAAGGAUUUGUUUAAAUCUUUUGUGGUGGAGCAGGACCUGCAAGGAAAGGUGAAAAAGAGGGAAAACCUGAAACAAAAGAAUAAUGUAAUGACUUUUUGUAUUGUGUAUUUUUGUAGGACAUGAACAUGUCUGUAGACUGGUGUGUGCACUGAGGAUGGAGAAGACCACAGCAUCAUCCUGGAAAUGAUCGAGAGUCACAGAUGAGACGCUCCAUCACUCCAGCUCUUACCGUCUCAUCAGGACCAGAUGCUGCUCUGGUGUCUUCAUCCUCAGUGACCCCAGAGCCAGUGAGAGCAUCUAGGGAAAGACCACAAGACACUGAGCAUGUGAUUUGGGUAAUGUUUGUUCAGCUGGUUAAUGUUUAAACAAUGAAGGCCGACUUUCAUAAGCUUCAAAAGCAUCAUCAAAAAAUGUGAUGGAGCUUUUAUCUGAAGUGAUUGACAGUGCUCUUAUAACAGGGGCCUACAAUCCCCUGAUCAACCUGGAGAAGAGAGCCUUGCUCAAGGACACACUGGUGUUCCUGUGGCUCAAGGGGUAGAGCAUUGCGUUAGCAGUGCAAGGUUGUGGGUUCGAAUACCAGGGAACACAUGUUAGGUAAAAACUGUUAGUCUGAAUGCACUGUAAGUCACUUUGGAUAAAUGUAUAAUUUAUUUAUAUAUUUGAACCACUUCAGUGGUUUAGCCCACUACAAAAGUAAUAAAUCAUGUACUUGUAAACUCUGUGUAAAUGUUUUUCAGGUAGUCAUGCUCAUGGGGUGCAGGCACACGAAAGUUUGGAGCAGACACAGCAGUCAGAUUGUCCUGCACGUCUUCCCCUGCUCUAGCUUCAAGGUUGUGUGGUUCAGAGAGCCGUCAUCAAGGUCUUCCUCAUCCUGUUGCUCAACGACAUCCCCAUUGAGAAGAGUGAGAUUGUGAAGUGCAGCGGCAGAACUGUAUCAGCUGUGUUCAGAUGGCAGGAGGAUCACUGUGUCACAAAAGAAAAUACAUUUGGCUUCUUUUACUAAAAUGUAAUUUUAAGAAAAAAAAAUUAUAUAAUUAUUGGUUGGCAUUUAUCGUUAUUAUUGCAUGGUAAAUGUUGGGGUGGGCAAAAGAUGCAAUUCAUUAUGGGGUAAUGUUAAUUUUCGAGUAGUAAUACUUACAUUUUUAGAGUGUCAAAUCAACAGUCUUCUCCAAAGAUGAGAUCUUCAAGCAGCUGAUCGAAGUACCCUUUGUGCAGAUAUUGCAGUCGCUGUGAGGUGUUUGUGCACCUGACCCACUUUUUUAUUAUUAUUGCCAAAUUAUUACAUAAAAGAUCAUGGUAAGAGGUUGUAUCUGACAAUAAACAAUCAUAAUGCCAUAAAACAGUAAAUAAAAAAAUUAUGUGUUCAUAGUAUGAGAUGCUAUAAAAGAAAAACGUUUUUCACGUAAAAUUAUUUAAAAAAUAUUCAAGAGAUAACGAUUUUGGGUUUUCUAAUAAAAAACAAAUGUUUUAAGGAUAACACUUGAUCACAUUAGUGGAGUUAAAAAUAUAUAUAUAUAAAAAAAUCAACAGUAUUGGCUAUACAACAAUCACAAAAUAAAAAGGCAGCCGUUUCUGCAACGUUCUUCAUUAUCAAGAUAAUUACAAAUACAAUAAUUAAACCUGUCACUUAUAUCUUUUACGUUUUUGUGCUUGUUAUAACUUUGUAGGUCACAUGAUCAACAUAGCGGAUGAUGAUAUACAAUUUGGAUUCAUACUUCAUACAUACGCAUUUAGGCUGUAGAGUAUAAACUCUUUUAGCGCUCCUUUAGUUAGUACUUAUUGAAAUUAAGUGCCUAAUUUAAAGGGUAUGCGGUUUCGAACGCAUCCCGACAAAAUCUCGUUUUGAGGUCUCGCGUGGUUCUGUGUGAUUUGAACAAUUUCAAGUUACGCCUCCUACUUCAAGUUACGCCCACUUCAAGUUACGCCCCCGUCUUGCAGUCUGCAGACAGACCCUUCUCGACAUGUUGCAAUGACAGCUGUCAUAUGCCAUGAGUAAGCCCGCGACGCCACCUUGUGGACAACUGUGUACUGCAACAACUUUAAUAAUGUAACCUGUAUUAUUGCUUGUGUGAAUGCCAUUUAAUCUGCUGUAUACCUAAUAUUUCUUAUUAUUCUUUGAUAUUUUCAGACCACUCACGGUUACCACUCAACCUGAUCAACAGUAAACUCCUAACUUUGAUUCAA